ACUGAAUAGAUACCCGGGUAGUCCACGCCGUAAACGAUGGAUGCUAGCUGUUGUCCGUAUCGACCCGGACAGUAGCGAAAGCUAACGCGUUAAGCAUCCCGCCUGUGGAGUACGGUCGCAAGACUAAAACAUAAAGGAAUUGACGGGGACCCGCACAAGCGGUGGAGCGUGUUCNUUAAUUCGAGGGUAAGCGAAGAACCUUACCAGGGUUUGACAUCCUGUGAAUCUUUCCGAAAAGGAAAGAGUGCCUUCGGGAACGCAGUGACAGGUGUUGCAUGGCCGUCGUCAGCUCGUGUCGUGAGAUGUUUGGUUAAGUCCAUCAACGAGCGCAACCCUUGUAUUCAGUUGGAUUUUUCUGAAUAGACUGCCCCGGUAACGGGGAGGAAGGAGGGGAUGAUGUCAGGUCAGUAUUACCCUUACACCCUGGGCUAGAAACACGCUACAAUGGCCGGUACAAAGGGCUGCCAAGUCGCAAGACGGAGCAAAUCCCAUCAAAGCCGGUCUCAGUUCGGAUAGGAGGCUGAAACCCGCCUCCUUGAAGCUGGAAUCGCUAGUAAC
rnacentral:rRNA from 1 species